AGUGAACGCUGGCGGUAGGCCUAACACAUGCAAGUCGAACGGCAGCACAGUAAGAGCUUGCUCUUACGGGUGGCGAGUGGCGGACGGGUGAGGAAUACAUCGGAAUCUACUUUUUCGUGGGGGAUAACGUAGGGAAACUUACGCUAAUACCGCAUCCGACCUACGGGUGAAAGCAGGGGAUCUUCGGACCUUGCGCGAUUGAAUGAGCCGAUGUCGGAUUAGCUAGUUGGCGGGGUAAAGGCCCACCAAGGCGACGAUCCGUAGCUGGUCUGAGAGGAUGAUCAGCCACACUGGAACUGAGACACGGUCCAGACUCCUACGGGAGGCAGCAGUGGGGAAUAUUGGACAAUGGGCGCAAGCCUGAUCCAGCCAUACCGCGUGGGUGAAGAAGGCCUUCGGGUUGUAAAGCCCUUUUGUUGGGAAAGAAAAGCAGCAGGUUAAUACCCCGCUGUUCUGACGGUACCCAAAGAAUAAGCACCGGCUAACUUCGUA
rnacentral:rRNA from 1 species